rnacentral:lncRNA from 1 species
AAAGAUAAAGCUGGUAUACCGCCAGUUGUAUGCCCAGCAUUGGGAGGUUUAGGUACGGGCCUGAUAGCACUCAAGUAUCCUGGGGUACUCUACUGGGGUUUUACCAACGUUGAUGAAAUUUUACAUACUGGGAAGACAGCGUCAGCACCUGGAAUUUGGUUGCUUGCUCAGUUAGUUACUGCAAAAGUUGUAGCUACGGCUCUUUGCAAAGGUUCUGGGCUUGUUGGUGGCCUUUAUGCACCAAGUUUAAUGAUUGGUGCUGCUGUAGGGGCUGUGUUUGGAGGUUGUGCUGGACAAUUAAUCAAUUCAGCUAUUCCAGGAAAUGCUGCUGUUGCUGAACCACAAGCAUAUGCAUUGGUAUUGUGUUACUGUUGUUACUGUUACUAUUCAUUUGUACUAUUAUUCCAUUCAGGAAUACUAAAUAACUUUUCUGCUACAUUAUACUGCAGGUUGGAAUGGCUGCUACAUUAGCAUCAGUUUGUUCAGUACCCUUGACAUCUGUUUUACUUCUUUUUGAGCUGACAAAAGAUUACAGAAUACUGCUUCCUCUCAUGGUAUAUUUUUCAACUUUUUGUAAUGUGUAAUCCAUAUGUGGAUUGGUCAAAGGCUGCCUGAUACUUGAUAUAAUCAAGAAAACCGCUACAUACAUAUAGCUAAUUUAUUAGAUCAUGCGUACUGUGAGAUUUCACUCGACAUUGUGUAAAUGAGUAACUUUGCAUACAAUUUAUUCCUGGUCACUGUAUUUUAUGAUAGCAAAUUAUAUCUAGUCACUAUAUGGGUAAUGCACGAUGUUACUAGCAUACAUGGUUGCAUAAGUAUGUUCACUGCUUGAGGACCUAUGCAUCAUCCAUCAAAUUUCUGCAGACGUGACAUUUUUAGACCUUGUAUUCUUUUCAAACAGGGGGCAGUUGGGUUAGCUAUAUGGGUGCCCUCUGUGACAAAUGAGUCCAAGGAGGGUGAGGCAUUAGAGACAAAGGUUGCAACAGGAGGUUACUCUGUUCUUGCACCAGUUGUUGACAAGGAUAGCGUUGGCACUUGGCGACGAAGUGAUGGAGAUGGUUUGGAACUCUCUGUGAUGGGAAGUGGUGGUCACCAUGAACAUAUUGAGGAAGAAUUAUAUUUGGAAAAUUUGAAGGUACCCUUUUCCAUAUCUUAUAUGAAACUGAUAUUAACAAGAAAAACAUAUUUGUGCCUGCAGCGUUCUAUCAUACCAGUUGUCAGGCUGAACAUAUGCCUUAUAUGUUUAGUUUUUUGUGACUCAACUGUAAUCAGUUUUUUCGGGUGUAAUCAGGUCUCCGAAGCAAUGACAAACAAAUUUGUCAAAGUUUUUUUAACACUUACCAUAAGGGAGGCACUAAAGUGCAUGCAUGAUGGUCAACAAAAUUGUGCUCUUGUAGUUGAUACUGAAGAUCAUUUAGAAGGGAUAUUAACAUUUGGCGACAUCAAAAGAAGUCUUUCCAAGAAUUCCAGUGGUGCUUCCAGCAGCGAUUCUUCAGUUCCAGAUGUAUGCAUUACUCUUUUAUAUAUGUAAUCUUAGAUUUUAGGCCCCUCCUUUUUAAAUCAUAACCCUAUAAUCUACAUCCAACACUGUUCUAUGUAAAAGUUUCCCACAGUUUUUUUUUUUUUUUCAGUUACGUCAGUCUCUUGUUUCUUCUAUAUGCACAAGAGGAAUAAACUAUCGUGGAAAGAGGCGUGGACUUUUAACUUGUUACCCAGACACAGACUUGGCAAUCGCUAAGCAGCUAAUGGAAGCUAAGGGAAUAAAGCAGCUGCCUGUUGUUAAUCGUGGUGUGGAUUUCAAAGAAGAAAGGAAACGCAGACUUAUAGCUGUACUUUACUAUGAUUCAAUCUGGAGUUGCAUCAGGUCAUGAUCAUUUCCACUUUUAUACGUUUAAACAUUACUGUUCUAAAAGUUGAUAAUUUUAUGUAUUGUCCUCAAGUUUGGCAUGGCUGCAUUAUAGUACAAUCAGAAGUGAAUGAAGUCUCAGUAUAUCAAGGUAUUCAGUUCAAUGGAGUACUGUUAAAUGGAGUACUAUUUGUUCUGUAAUAUGUUCUGCUUUCUGAUUAUUGCAAAACACCAGCAGAACAUAUAGUCUCUAGUUAGUAUUCCAUUUAAGGGUACUCCACUGAACUUUAGGUAUGUAUCUUUGAAUUUGUAUAUUUCAUACAUAGGAAUUUUUAGUUCUUACUGGAAUGGAUAGGUAAGAUACAUGCUGUCUUGUUUGGGCCGAUCUUAAAUUCAUCAAUACAUUUUGCAAACAAUUUAAUUGUUCUGGUUCUCUUACAUACUUUAGGAAGUUGAGUCAGUUGACCUUUGCCACUAUAAUCCUCAUGUUCCAUAAGGCAUAAGUGAUUCAUAUCCUUUCUACUACUGUAAGAGUACUAAUCUCAUUCUAGUUGUAUACUUGUAUGUGGUAUAAUAUGUCUUGAUUGCAAUCAACCUUGAAAGGAUCCAUAUAACUGUCUCUUACGACUUUCUAAUGCCCUGCCCUGAUCGUCGGUCAAAGGUUUGCAACAAUUUGGUUGAUGUUUUACAUGUGAAAACAUUCUAGCAUGAAAAUGUGUGAGAAAUAAUGUGCAAUCUUCUAUGAUAUAGCAUUUCUUCAACAAUAAGUACUAUUGUCAUAGUUUAGAUGUUAUACUCCAGGGUACUACUAGGCAAACUAAACCAAAUUGAAGGCUUGAACAUUGGGACAUCCCACUCAUGUCAGAUUUUUUUUCCCUUUAUACGUAUGUCAAGCGAACUGGCCUAUCUUUCAUAGCACAAUGCGAUUACGCCAAUAUGUUACUAUGAUGAAAACUCAACACCCCCCCCCCCCCCCNUAUCUCAUUCAGUUCAGUUUACUGUUUUAUUAUUUAGUAACUAACUGUAUGGAUGUUAAAUUGCUUAGUUUGCUUUAUAAUAUUGUGAUUUAUCAUUUAUCCAGUAUUAUGUACUCACCUUUACUAUAAUGUGGAUUAUGUUUAAGUAUAGUAUUUAUGCAUUGAUGCACUCCAUAAACUUAUUGGCUACUGUUCAUCUUCAUGAUGCAAAACUCUUUUUGAAUUUAGGCAUUCACUAUCAUCAAAUCAUCUAUCUUAAAAACUUAGGAAGAUAGCUGUCACAACCGGCCAGCUUGCCUUCAGUCAGUUAUAUUCCCACUGUCUAAUUCUUAUGUUCCACAUUCAAGUUUGACUUUCUUCACAGUAUUGGUCACGUAUCCACAAGAACAUGUUGCUUCUUGCUAAGACAGCCAGCUCCAACUGCGGCUUCACUUAUAUAAUAUUAUAUACAUAAAUUAUUAGCUUCUUCAUCAUGUCAUCACCAUCUUAAUAAUCCAUCGAUGGAAAUUGCUAUGCACGGAAUAUUGAUAAUGAUGCCAUCUUUGUUUCAUAUUUGUGCAAGUCAGAAAUAUGCACAAAUUUUGCAUCUCUUGUCCUUACGUGUCUCAGUCUAAAAUCAUCAAAUCACAAUACAGUUUCCCUUCUCUUCAGCUUAGCGUUAAAUGAGUUACCUAAUUUCAUAAAGAAAUUGACAAUAAAUGAAUAUGGAAUUAGUACUUAUAAAGUUUGUUCUUACCAUUUUGUUAGUUUAUAUUUUAUAAUUAAAAAAGACAUAUCUGUUUGCUGUUAAAAAAAUGUCUUCCUGUUGUGGUAUCAGUUGAGAUUAAAAUCAUGAUAUAUUUUGGCUACAUUAAGUAUAUCUGUUGUACAGUGAUAUAGUUUGAACAUUUAUUUCUUAAAAGUUAGUAUGAGUUUUAUAUCUUGGAGAUAUAUGCACACUUAUAUGGGUUUUUGCUGUCAUUUAUUAUUUACCCUCUUUAUUCUCACCUUAACCCUAAAUUUGAUAUUGGCAAUUGGAUCCACACAUUUAGUUAGGUGUGUCUUUUCCUUUUGUGCAGAACUACCUCUAUACCUUAUACUGGGAAUGCUAUGUGGAGUAGUAAGCGUGAUAUUUACUCGUUUGGUAGCUUGGUUCACUGAGGCGUUUGAUUACAUCAAAGAUAAAGCUGGUAUACCGCCAGUUGUAUGCCCAGCAUUGGGAGGUUUAGGUACGGGCCUGAUAGCACUCAAGUAUCCUGGGGUACUCUACUGGGGUUUUACCAACGUUGAUGAAAUUUUACAUACUGGGAAGACAGCGUCAGCACCUGGAAUUUGGUUGCUUGCUCAGUUAGUUACUGCAAAAGUUGUAGCUACGGCUCUUUGCAAAGGUUCUGGGCUUGUUGGUGGCCUUUAUGCACCAAGUUUAAUGAUUGGUGCUGCUGUAGGGGCUGUGUUUGGAGGUUGUGCUGGACAAUUAAUCAAUUCAGCUAUUCCAGGAAAUGCUGCUGUUGCUGAACCACAAGCAUAUGCAUUGGU